CACGUAGGGCGCAAGCGUUGUCCGGAAUUAUUGGGCGUAAAGAGCUCGUAGGCGGUCUGUUGCGUCCGCUGUGAAAACUCGGGGCUUAACCCCGAGCCUGCAGUGGAUACGGGCAGACUAGAGGUAGGUAGGGGAGAAUGGAAUUCCCGGUGUAGCGGUGAAAUGCGCAGAUAUCUGCAGGAACACCCGUGGCGAAAGCGGCGAGCUGGAUCACUACUGACGCUGAGGAACGAAAGCUAGGGGAGCAAACAGG
rnacentral:rRNA from 1 species